UCUGAUUAUCCACAUGAUCGUUUACAAUCCUUUCAGCAAGCACACAUUCUGCUUCAUCUUCUGACACAAUGUCUAUGAAUAUCUCAAACCAUUUUUCUAAAGAGGAAAUAAUACAUAUGAAUGUCAACCUUGUUAAUAAAAACCAACUAGCUAACUUAAGCAUGAAUGUUGGAACUCAACAUGUUUCUACUGAUGCUAAAACUUUUUCAGUAUUCCUCCGGUAUGCUUGUUUCUUUGUGCUAGUACCUUAUCAUAAAAUGCCUUGAUAUAAUCCAUCUUUGCAGCUAACAGUCUGCUUCAACUAUGGCCUUCACUCUUCUGGAUUCCCAAAUGUCCAAUUAGAAGAGGUCGAAAAUGCCUCCCCACUUCCAAAUCCCUUCACUCUGCCAGCUACUGAUUCACGUAAGAGACUGGAAUCCAAAAAGUGAUGAGUAAUAAGGGCAAUGAUACCAAUUUAAGCAAUUCACGAGUUAAAUUGUUUAAAUAAAGUAAAAAGGAAAGUCAGAGGAAAGAAGAUAUAACUGAUGAUUAUGUGAGGAGAUUCUGAAAUAUGUAAAACAAAGUCCUGUGAAGUGUGACCUCAUGUCCCCCCUUCGGCCCUUCCCAACUCAAAAGUCGGUUUACCCCGCAUCAAAUCCACUCUUCUAGCAAAAAUUUUCCACUAAAGGUAAAUGCAAAAUUAAAACUAUUUCAAAUUGUUAAUCCUUGUUGCUAUCCUUUGACUAUAUCGGCUAGAAUAUACGAUCUAUUAAAGUUCCUUAUGAGAUAACUUGUCAACUAUUCAAGAUAUGUUAAAGUAUCUGUCCUGAAAUACAUAGGCAUUUUAGUUUUUACUAUAGUAAAACUUGGGGAAAAAACAUAAGCAAAACACCAAUAUUUUACUAACUUACUCAAAUUAAUACAACCCAUUAACUAAAAAGAAGAAAAACAGAUUCGGUAAUAUUAGUAAAAAAGAUACUCCCUCCAUUUAAAAAAUAAUGACCUACUUUGACUUGGUACAAAGUUUAAGAAAAUAAAAAAGACUUUUGAAUCUUGUGGCCCUAAAUUAAAGUAAUAUCAUAUGUACCAAAAUGUCCUUUAAUCUUGUGGUCAUAAACAUGCCAUGUGGAAAGUUGAAAAUAAAGUAUUGUCAAAAAAGGAAAGGCCAUUCUUUUUUAAACGAACUAAAAAGAAAAAUAAGUCAUUCUUUUUUAAAUGGAGGAAGUAACAAUAAUAGAUAAAUAAAUAAACCACAAAGACCAAACGAAUAAAACAAAACUUACUCCCUCUGUCUUAAAAUAAUUGGCAUGUAUAGAUUUUGCACAACUUUUUAGAAAAAAAACUUAAUUAGUAGUGUGAUUUAACUAGUAUAUCCCUUCUUAAUUAAUUUUUUAAUCUUUAACUAUUUACAUGCCUGUUAAAUAUAAAAUAAUUAUUACUAAGAGUAGAAUUGAAAAAAAUUGAUAUUAUUCCUUGAUCCUUUAAAUAUGAUAAUUAUUUUGAGACAAAUUUUUUUAGCAAACAUGUCAGCUAUGGUGAUAGAGGAAGUAAAAACUAAAAUUUGCAUGAUAAUUCAAACAGGUAAUCUGUAAUCAAUAAAUUUGCCCAAUAUAUUUUUUUGACAACACUAAGCAUGUCUACCGCCGAAGACCAUAAACACAAUAAGCAACUAAGAGGACAUGUGCCAACCAUCCAAAAAUAAAUUAAAAUGACACAUGAUGAAUAAUGAUAUUCUAUCCAAUGAAUGAAAUACGCCUAGUUUUCAUAAGCAAGAAAAUCACCAGAUUAACAUGGGUACUAAGUUACUCUUUGAAAAAUGAUUUACCUUGACAAAAAUUUUUUUAAUGAAUAUUCGAUUACCGGUACUUACCAAACAGCAAAGGUUUAAUUGGUAACACAUAAAUAACUUGCAAUUCAAUUCAAUUGAUUGAAUUUUUAUGAUAUAGAUAUAUACUCCAUACUUAGCCUUCAACAGAUUACUUCAAAAUGAUGUAGUCUCAUCAUCAAACGACUUAAAAUACAGAAGAAAUCAGCAGUCUCUAACCUUGGUAAGCAAAUUUAAUCCUGGUAGGAUAUUUUCAUAAGCUUGUAUUACACUUUGUUCAAUCCCAUUAGCUAACUGACGGACAAAAUCAAGAUCAUAGAGCGAAAGAAGAUGUUCGACUAAUCUAUAUAAGGAAAUUAAUGAGAAACAGAUCUACAGAAACUACAAAUAACUUUGAAAAAAACUUACACGCACCCAAUGUAUGCACCAAGUCAAUACAUGCAUGUCAUAUGUUUGAAUUUGAAGUUCAUGUUACUUAACCAUGAUUAAUCAAAUGUAUUUUACUUAUUUUAAUUACACAACAGGAUAAAAUAUAUUAAUUUGAUGUAUAUAUCGGAUGCAUGUAAAUUUUUAUCAAUAACUUUGGUGACAUUAGCAAAUGCUUGAAAGUACUGACCCAAAAUUUUUGCUACAUGCUUGAAAUGACAUAAGCAAGUUGCGUUAAUGCAGCAAGAAAAUCAUCAAAUAUUCUACCAAUUUUUAAAACAUUAUUUAUAUAGAAGUAAUUUUUUUGAAUGAAUAGACGUGUAGCCACACUCACCAAAACAACAAAGAUUGGGCUGGUAACACAUAAAAAAUGUGCAAUUAAACUCAAAUGGCGGAUCAAUAAUCUAUUUCAAACCCCAUUUUAGCAUGCAAAACAGAGUAUUUCACAACAUAAUAAAUUGAGAUAUGUCACAAUGAUUGUUGCUAAUGAGCACAUUUUCGAUGAGAAUUUAAGCAAGCACUCACCACUUACCCUAGGUUAUCUUUCAUGAACAUUAUUAUUCUCCCUAUUGAAACUAAAAGUAUAUAUAUCAAACAACAACAAUAUCAGGGAAUCAUCAUCAAACAUGAAAAAAGACACUUUGCAAUGAAUUGCACCAAAUCCAAGACAAUCGGAAACUCAACUUUUGAUAGAAAACAAAGAAAUGGAUUGAAGGGGUAAUCCACCACCAUCAAUGUCACUACUGUAGCAUACUGAUUAAAAUCACAGGUUUUGCUGGUUCUCACGUGCGGAUAAUACGGCUAACUUGAAUAGAUCUAUUAUAGGUCUAAUGGAUCUAUUUUUAUUUGUGUGUGGAUAUUUCUUAACUUCUUUAAAUAUUUUUAUUUUUUAUUUGGGUGGUGAUUAAAUGGUAUUUGAUUAAAUGUUUUACCAUAAUAUUCUUUAGUUUUUUCUCUUAGUCUUUGUAAUUCUUAUAUAUUAUUUUGAAGGCAUUCUAAAUAUUCUAUAUCUUUUGUUCUAAAAUAUUCAAUUAAAUUCUCUUUCAUAAGUAUCUCUGUUAAUCUUAUUUCUUUCAUAUCUUGUCUCCAAUAUUUUAAAUACUCAUAGUCUAUCAUUUUAUCCUAAAGUAGUUGUGAUACUACAAAUUUCUUUAUAACAACUUAUUCUAAUUGUACUAUAUCUAAUGUUAAAUUCUAGGUUAUCUGUUUCGGUAAUUAUCCUGUCUUUUUCUUCUAUGAAUAGUUCUAUGUCUAAAUCAUAUUCUAAACUGCCUUUUAAUUCUAGUUGUUUCAUGAUUUUAUUUAUCAAAUUAAUCUUUCUUUUAAUUGUUCUCUUCCUUUUCUAAGUUGGUUUCUAUAAUUAAUUUCUUCGUAUAGCCAACUUUGUUUUUCUCUAACUCUUUUAAUAUAUUCUAACAUUUUUAAUCUGUAUAAUAUCCAUCUGAAUAACAACUAUCUAGGUAUGAGCAGUGGCUUUCAUUAUAUAAGUGUAAGUUUUCUAUAGAGCUUAAUAAAUCUUCAUUAAAAUAAAAUACCACGUCGUAUAUAAUUUUUCUUAUAUCUACUAUUUCUAUAUCCCUAAGUACAUACAAAACAAGUAUUUUAAAUUUAUCUAUCAUUCCAUCAGAUAAAUAGGUAGUCAUGCUUUUUCAUAUGAUGUUAUUUUCAAAAUAUUCCCUUCAAUCAUACACAUAACAAAGUAUGAUCAUUUUAGAUUACUAUAUACUAGAUUAUUCUUAAAUAACAUGUUCUUCGGUCACUAUUAGCACGGUAAUCUAGAUAUUUUUCCCUUAAACAGCGCCUCUACUCUGGCUACUCCCCUAUCACGGCUUUCUUGCCUCACCGGUUUCACCUUUAAGAUGGCAUAGUUCUUAGGGAUUUUUCUCCUUUUUCACUUUGCUAAUAAACUUCUUAACAUGCUAUUUUUCGAAUAACUCUACUAUAAAGUAACUAACAUGAACUUAUUUUAUCAUAUCAUGAUUGUUAGGAAUUUAACUAUUCAUAAUCAUAAAUAAAUAUACCUGUUCUGGUAGAUUUGAUAAUUCUGGGCUUUGUUCAUCCAUGACUUUUGCUUUGAAAUAUACUUUUUUAAUUAAACAUUCAAAAGUUUUUUGUUUACAAAGGAAGAGGC
rnacentral:lncRNA from 1 species